GUCGCCUAUCCAUGUUCUCCACAGAUGCUGCCUGACCCGCUGAGCUACUCCAGCACUCUGUGAAACGUCACCUAUACAUGUUCUCCACAGAUGCUGCCUGACCCGCUGAGUUACUCCAGCACUCUGUGAAACGUCACCUAUCCAUGUUCUCCACAGUUGCUGCCUGACCCGUUGACUUACUCCAGCACUCUGUGUCUAACUUGGUCAACAUAUCUUCAUGCUGGGUAGACAAAAAUGCUGGAGAAACUCAGCGGGUGCAGCAGCAUCUAUGGAGCGAAGGAAAUAGGUAACAAAACCCUUCUUCAGACUAAAUCUCCAGCACCAUCACCAACUUCAUCAACUCCCACCCCCUGCCUGACCGAGCCUCUAAUCUCAUCGUUCCCCAGCCCCGCACGGCCCGUUUUUACCUUCUCCCCAAAAUCCACAAACCUAACUGUCCCGGUAGACCCAUUGUCUCUGCCUGUUCGUGCCUCACCCAACUCAUCUCCACAUACCUUGACUCCAUACUAUCCCCCUUGGUCAAAUCCCUUCCUAACUUAUACCCCCAUGUCUUCAUGCUGUCUGGCUCUGACUCUAUAACACUCCUCAGUACCUGUUUUAGCCUUACACUCACAGCCCCUAGUCACACACACACACUCAUGCACACUCACACACUCGUUCACUCACACGAGCACACUCAGGUGUGCACAAGCUCACUCAAGCAUCCACACACUCACAAUCAUGCACGCACACACUUGUGCACAGACAUGCUCACCCACAUAUACAGACACAUCCGCACACACUCACGCGCGCGCGCACACACACACACACAGACACACUCGCAGAGACACACACACAGACACUCGCAGAGACACACGAUCGCACACAUACACGGAAACACAGACACAUACAUGCACGCACACAUUCACUCACACACACAUGCACACACACACUCACACCCACAUGCGCACACACACACACACAUUCACUCACACACACACACACACACGCACACAUGCACACACACAUACAUGCACACACACAUUCACUCACACACACACACACAUGCGCCCACAAAUACACACGCACACACACACACACGCACACACGUCUGUUCCCUUCAUCAGUCUUGCUCCAAUAUAAAACAUGAGGUGACGUUUCAGGUCGAGACCCUCCUUCAGAUUAGUUCAGAGACGAGGCCUGACCCGCUGAGUUCCUCCAGCACUUUGUGCCUUGUUUUUGUAAAGCAGCAUCUGCGGUUCCUUGUGUCUACAUUGACUUUAAUGGCCUGUAUCUACAGGUGUGGGCGGGCACAUGUGGAGAGGGUGAGGCCACAUGGCCAUCAGGUAGACAGACGCCAGUGGGCUGUUGAUGCCAGCGCAGGGGGGGGAUGUGUGUGUAACAGAGCGGUAAAUGAUGAUCCUUUUCAGACUGACGUACGUACGUACGUACGAGGGACGAUUCUUGCUAUGUUCUGAACCGCUUGUGCCCGGGUCUGUGCCACCAUGUGACUGUAGACACGUGUCUGACCCACUGUAACUUCUCAAUUUCACGCAGUGGGAGCAGGUGCGUUUACAACUCAGUCGGCCAAGAGAGUUGGGAAGAAACUCCUCCCCGAAUCUGGAGGUUCCGUUUAUUAUUGUCACGUGUACCGAGACGGGCGUCGGGAUUGUCUACAGACGGAAGAUGGACACAAAUAGCUGGAGUAACUCAGCGGGACAGACGGGCAGCAUCUCUGGAGAGAGAAGGAAUGGGUGACGUUUCGGCUCGAGACCCUUCUUCAGACUGGCCUUUCUGUCCUGGGCCUCCUCCAUGGCCAGAGUGAGGCCCAGUGCAAGUUGGAGGAGCAGCACCUCAUAUUUCACUUGGGCACCUUACAC